rnacentral:rRNA from 1 species
UCGACGGGUAGCCGGCCUGAGAGGGUGACCGGCCACACUGGGACUGAGACACGGCCCAGACUCCUACGGGAGGCAGCAGUGGGGAAUAUUGCACAAUGGGCGCAAGCCUGAUGCAGCAACGCCGCGUGAGGGAUGACGGCCUUCGGGUUGUAAACCUCUUUUAGCAGGGAAGAAGCGAAAGUGACGGUACCUGCAGAAAAAGCGCCGGCUAACUACGUGCCAGCAGCCGCGGUAAUACGUAGGGCGCAAGCGUUAUCCGGAAUUAUUGGGCGUAAAGAGCUCGUAGGCGGUCUGUCGCGUCUGCUGUGAAAACCCGAGGCUCAACCUCGGGCCUGCAGUGGGUACGGGCAGACUAGAGUGCGGUAGGGGAGAUUGGAAUUCCUGGUGUAGCGGUGGAAUGCGCAGAUAUCAGGAGGAACACCGAUGGCGAAGGCAGAUCUCUGGGCCGUAACUGACGCUGAGGAGCGAAAGGGUGGGGAGCAAACAGGCUUAGAUACCCUGGUAGUCCACCCCGUAAACGUUGGGAACUAGUUGUGGGGUCCAUUCCACGGAUUCCGUGACGCAGCUAACGCAUUAAGUUCCCCGCCUGGGGAGUACGGCCGCAAGGCUAAAACUCAAAGGAAUUGACGGGGACCCGCACAAGCGGCGGAGCAUGCGGAUUAAUUCGAUGCAACGCGAAGAACCUUACCAAGGCUUGACA